CGCGGAAAAUAUAACGGGGCUAAAGUAAGUACCGAAGCGGUAGGCUUGUGCUUAAUCAAAUUCUUUAAGAUGAGGGCAAAAACCCUAACGAAUUUAAGAAAGCUAAGAAGCUAGGAAGUUAAAUGCAAAUUUUUGUUUUAAAUUUUAAGUUUUAACUUUUAAAUUUGAAUUGCAAAAAAACUUAACUUUGAAACUUAAAUUUGAAAGAAAAAUAAUUUAAAUUUGAAAUUUCAAAAAAAAUUUCAAAAACAAACUUAAAUUCAAAGCUUCUUUCAAAAAAGUCAAGAAAUGAAGAAGUCAAAAAGAAAAAAUUCCACUAAAGAAUUUGCUUAAGCGCAAGCGGUAGGAGAGCGUUCUAUUUGCGUCGAAGGUAUACCGGCAAGG
rnacentral:rRNA from 1 species